rnacentral:lncRNA from 1 species
UCUGUGCCACAGUUUUAAUUACAGAGGCUUUAUAAUAUAUUUUAAUGUCUGGCAGGGAUAGUCCUCUUUUGCAUAUUAUUCUAUUUAGGUUUUUGGGUUUUGUUCUUUAUUCCUGCAUGCUUAUUUUUCCAUAUGAAGUGCAAUACCACGUUUAGUUUCAUUAACUAUGUUUAGUAUUAAUUUUGGAGAUUCUUUACAUUUAUAAAAUACAAAAACUGAUGAAUUAAUUUAGUGUGAACUGACAUCUGACUUUGAGUAUCCUAUCUCAAAACAAGAUUUAAAGUUGCCUGUGAGUUACCACGCACUUUGAUGUGAUGUUGAGGAACAAUAUGUACGGAUUAGUGCAUUUGCUCAACAAAUGUGGAUUCAGCUCUUGCAACAUCUCAAGUAUGCUUCUAUGCAUUGGGGAACCACAGUGAAUGGACAGAGAAGAUGCCUGCACUUAUGGAACUCCCAGCCUAGCUCACAGCUAAACGUCCUUGAGGUCUAUCCAAGUUGCUGGUGGAUUAAUAGUUAUUCCUCUUGAAUUGCUGAGCAGAAUCCCAGAAGACAAAAGAAACGUGUCUGUGAUCGCACCCAGCAGAACAACCGAGGACCUACUCCCUCACCCUCUGCGCUAUCUCAAAUCUCUACAUACAACAAUAGCAAAACAGACUGCAAAUAUGACCCACUGCUUUUACAAUGUUAAAAUCAACUGAAACGAUAUUCUGACAACAGCUUUUCUCACAGAUUACUAGACAUCUCUGCCAAAGGAAAUUAAAACAUGCCUCCAGAAAAAAAUCAGGACUAAUUCUGAUCUUCUUGAAAGAAACUAUUAUAUAUUAAUAGAGUCAUAUCAUGGGCACAUGGAUAAGUAAUUAUCAUAAUUUUGAGAAAUAUAAAGCCUCUUUUAAAAAAGGUGCACAAAUGAUGUUGGCUUAUCUGACAUAGGAGUCAAUGUGAUGGACUUACAUAAACAGAAGAAAAUCAGUAGUGAUUACCCAGAAGAAAAUAGAAUAUGAUCAUCUUGGGAUUUUCAACAUUUGUCCUGCAUGCUUAUUCCAUCUCAUAUUUUUAUGAUUGAUCCAAGUAAAGAAUGAGUCACUCCAUAGGGGGGCUGAGAACAUGCCAGGUCGAAGAUUUUCCUGUGACAUUAAACAAUAGCUUAGAAAAAGCAAAUAGAAUCUACUACAAAAUUAUAAAGCAGCUAGAGUUUGCAUGGUUCUUUUCCCACUCGCUGAGUGACUCUUUUCACCACUUUGUGGUCCCCCAGCUCCUGGGUGCAGGCAUUCAUCUUGUUUUCAACUAGCUGAAACCUAAAUGAUUUUAAGUUUCACAAGCUAGCAGCCCUUCUAGGAGAAUUUGAUUUUUCACUGGGAAUUCUGGAUGGUUUCAAGAUGAAAAGUUACAUUUUACUGAUCAAAUUCUAGAGAAAAGUGAUGGGGGGAGGUGAUGGGAGAUUUGAAUCAUCCUACAUGGGGCAGCUCUGGAAGGGUCAGUGCACACACACACACACGCACACACAUACACACACACUAUCACACCAAUUGAGUGCUCUGUCUCUAUUGAAAAGACACAUUUUCCCCAGCUACGUGUUUUCAGAUUGAAUACCUUGGAGCCAAGGGGUUCCUCUAGGCCUACCCCUACAGUACAGAGAAAACUGAGUGGGCAAACUUCUGCUCCUCCUCGCUUGCCUUCAAACAGAACUUCUCUUCCUUUAUUGGUUUGAUUUAUCAAAGUUCUGUGGAAUAGUUCUCAAAUGUGUACACUUCCCACAGUUUCCUUCUAAGUUUGCUCUUUCCUCCCUCAUACUUUUCAAACCCCCUCACUCCCUCACUCCCUCACUUUUAGCCAAUGACUCUAAGUUUCUCUUUACUGAGAAAACAGAAUCUAUGAGGCUUUAACUCCCUCUUCAAAUAACAUCUCCAAAACACAGAAUGUCAUGGGCUCCACCCACCUUCUCCUUCUCCUUUCCUAACAAAGGCCAUUCCCUCGCAUGCUUCUGAAUCCCACUCUUUGGCUUUGCAAGGUCUUUGAAUUUCUGUUCAUCCUCUCUCUUUCUGAUCUAGUAUCUCCAAUCAUUAAAAAAAAUUCCUCUUAACCUCACAACCUUCUCCAGCUAUUGCCCAAUAUCUCAAUUCCUUUUCAGAGAAAAAAGUCUUUAAAGACUUGCUUACAUGUGCUGCCUGCCUUAUCAUUCCACAUUCAUUCUUCACCUCACUCUACUCUUGCUUCAGCCUCCGCCACUCCACCAACUUCUCU